CCUACGGGAGGCAGCAGUGGGGAAUAUUGGGCAAUGGGCGCAAGCCUGACCCAGCAACGCCGCGUGAAGGAAGAAGGCUUUCGGGCUGUAAACCUCUUUUAAGGGGGAAGAGCAGAAGACGGUACCCCUUGAAUAAGCCACGGCUAAUUACGUGCCAGCAGCCGCGGUAAUACGUAGGUGGCAAGCGCUGUCCGGAUUUACUGGGUGUAAAGGGCGUGCAGCCGGAGAGUCAAGUCAGAUGUGAAAUCCACGGGCUCAAUCCGUGAACUGCAUUUGAAACUGUUUGCCUUGAGUGUCGGAGAGGUAAUCGGAAUUCCUGGUGUAGCGGUGAAAUGCGUAGAUAUAAGGAAGAACACCAGUGGCGAAGGCGGAUUACUGGACGGUAACUGACGGUGAGGCGCGAAAGCGUGGGGAGCAAACAGGAUUAGAUACCCGGGUAGUC
rnacentral:rRNA from 1 species